AUGGGAUACUUAGUACGGCGAGUGAAGCGGUAAAAGCUCAAAUUUGAAAUCUGGUACUUUCAGUGCCCGAGUUGUAAUUUGUAGAAUUUGUCUUUGAUUAGGUCCUUGUCUAUGUUCCUUGGAACAGGACGUCAUAGAGGGUGAGAAUCCCGUUUGGCGAGGAUACCUUUUCUCUGUAAGACUUUUUCGAAGAGUCGAGUUGUUUGGGAAUGCAGCUCAAAGUGGGUGGUAAAUUCCAUCUAAAGCUAAAUAUUGGCGAGAGACCGAUAGCGAACAAGUACAGUGAUGGAAAGAUGAAAAGAACUUUGAAAAGAGAGUGAAAAAGUACGUGAAAUUGUUGAAAGGGAAGGGCAUUUGAUCAGACAUGGUGUUUUUUGCAUGCACUCGCCUCUCGUGGGCUUGGGCCUCUCAAAAAUUUCACUGGGCCAACAUCAAUUCUGGCAGCAGGAUAAAUCAUUAAGAAUGUAGCUACUUCGGUAGUGUUAUAGCUUUUUGGAAUACUGUUAGCCGGGAUUGAGGACUGCGCUUCGGCAAGGAUGUUGGCAUAAUGGUUAAAUGCCGCCCGUCUGAAA
rnacentral:rRNA from 1 species